UGCAUUAACUACUGUAAGUCGCUCUGGAUAAGAGCGUCUGCUAAAUGACUAAAA
rfam:Salmo salar isolate Sally breed double haploid chromosome ssa04, whole genome shotgun sequence.